GUGCUCGCUUUGGCAGCACAUAUACUAAAAAUUGGAACGAUACAGAGAAGAUUAGCAUGGCCCCUGUGCAAGGAUGACACGCAAAUUCGUGAAGCAUUCCAUAUUUUU
ensembl:snRNA U6 U6 spliceosomal RNA